UCAAACCUGCAUCCUCAUGGUUAUUAGGGUUCAUUACCGCUGAGCCACAAUGGCUUUCAUUUUAAAGAUGAGAGACAUGAACACCCCUAUGAGGGGAAGUGAUUUGUCCUUGGUUACGUAAGCAGUUAUUGACUGAUAUAAAGUGAUAGAACCCAGGGCUCCUUAUGCCUCUUCAGUCUGUAGCACAUUGCUCCCCCCUCCUUUUUUUUUUUUAAUCAUCAAAGGCAUAUUACAUCUGUCACACCCUUCUAGUGUUUCUUCCUAAAGAACAAUGGGUGACUAGCAAGUUGGAGAUGCAUCUAGGUUUUCUGCAUAACUAUUCUGUAAUUUAGUAGGUUGUCAAGUUAAUUUCUUUUGAUUGCUUUAUCAAUUUAAUUAUUUUAUUGAGGUAUAAUUUAUAUAUUAUAAAAUUCAUCCCUUUUAAGAGUACAAGUCAAUAAAUUUUAGUAUGUUUGUAGUUAUACAACCAUCACCACAAUCUUGUUUCAGAUCAUUUCCAUCACCUUAUGUCUAUGUGAAAAUUCAUUCAUUAAUGAAUUUGUUGCAUUUACAGUAAAAAUCUAACUCAAUAUAUUUUAUAUUUUUCAGCUAUACUGUAAACCAGGCACUGUGCUAAAAUUUUUAGAAGGAGUCCCCAUUGUGGCUGGGUGGAAACAAAUCUGACUAGCAUCCAUGAGGAUGCAGGUUCGAUCCCUAACCUUGCUCAGUGUGUUAAGGAUCCAGCAUUGCUGUAGGCUGCAGUGUAGUUUACAGAUAAUGCUAGGAUCUGGCUUUGUGGUGGCUGUGGUGUAGGCCAGAAGCUGUAGCUCUGAUUCGACCCCUAGCCUGGGAACCUCCAUAUGCCUUGGGUGCGGCCCAGAAAAGACAAGAAAAAAAAAAAAGAAAAAAAUAGAAAAAAAAAUUGUUACAAAACACUUUUGGUCCUAUGUGUCUUGUACUUGAGCUGUGACAUAUAUUAAAUAAUGCAUGAAAAAUGCUGUAAUAGAUGUAUGAACAAAGCGUGCUGGUGAUGCAGAGGAAAAAAAUUCAUCAGUAUGUAGUAUAAUCUAAUCAUCUAUAGUAAUAAGUUAUAACCAUAAUAACAUUAAAAUGGUUGUCAAUUAUGAAACUUAGUGUGUGGCAGACAGUGUGCUAAUUAUUUUGCGCAUAGAAUGUAAUUUAAUUCUAAUACUAGUUUUACAGAAAAUCUGUCCCUGCUAUUUUACAUUCAAAAAUUAUGUUAUUUAAAAUGACAUAUAAUUUUAAACCAAUUUGAGAAAUUUAUAUUAGCUAUCUACAUACAAAUCACCCGUUGAUAACACUAAAAAGAGGAGUAGCCCUGGCACUUACAUGUCUAGUAGAGGAAGGGUGUAUUCACAAAGUACUACUUUACAGAGAUAGAAUAUUAUCAUAUCCAUUCAAAUAGUUAUGAAAUCAUAGAAAAGGGGCAGAUUAUAACUUAAUGAAAUUAGGGAAUUUUCCUUGUAAAGAUGGCAGUUAUGCUCCACCUUGAAGAAAGGGGAAAAUCUUAAAGCUAAAAAUGGAUAUUGGUAAGGCAAUAACUUAUUGUCCAUAUUUGGACAACAGGAGAGAUAAUUCUACUAUUAUACUGAUGCAAUAGGAAUAAACUGGGAUUGACUUGGGAAAACUGGGAUAUGUGAUCAUCCUAGUCAUUGGAGGAAAGACAGGAUAGGUGGAAAAGACAUGAGCAAAAGCUCAAAGUUGGGAAAGGAGAUGGCCCUUUAAGGUGAUAGCAUAUAAAAUGAUACAGUGAAGUUUACCUGAAGAUAUAGAUGAAUGGGAAGAUGGAGACUUUGGGUAUUCAGUGGCCAACAGGCUGGAUCUUAGAGGUCCUCACCCAGCUCUCAAAUCCAUUUUCUUUCUCCAUGUGGAAACUUUUUUCUCUCACUCUUGCUUCAAGUACACUGGUUUUUCUACUACUGUAGUCCAAGUUAUAUUUCUAAUCUCACUCCCCCCUUUCCUAGCUCAGUUUUUUCUAUUUUUAUAGAAAAACAAAUUUUGCAAACUUCUGUCUCCAAAUCCUAUCAGCUAAUUAUUUGAGUCUUUGUUUCUGGUCAAAUGCGAGCUGGGGGAUAAUGGUGAGUUAUAAUACGGCCAUACAAUUAAUCUGUUAUUGUUGUUACCUAGUUAUAACUAGGGUAGUGGUGGGACUGGAAAAAUUCAUGAAUGAGGGACACAUUUGUUUUGAAUGCCAUUCCUGUGGUCCAAUUUCAAAACGAAGGACCUCACAGAGUAGAGAAAUUAAUUUCAACAAGGAACAUAGGUAACAUCGUCACAUAUGGCAAAGGAAUUGGGUAUUUUCUAGGGAGAUCAAUUAAGACUCUGGAAUGUGAGAAUAACCAAAAGGAGUGGUGAUGGAUGACAUAUGGUACUGAAAAAGAAUCUUAGUAUAGUUUUGUUUAGAAAAGGUCCUGUGAACAAAUUAGCAGCACUAAAAACCUAGGCCUAAUUUAAAGAGCAUUUAAUUUGAAGAGCUUGAGCUCUUUCUUUCACAGAAGCUGCCCAUGCACCUACUUAGACAUCUGCUAUUUGAUCUUCAACUUGAGAGAAGACAUAUUUCACCAGCUCUUUUGCUCUAAGUAUUAUGUAGGGUCUUCCCAUGAAGCACCAGGAAAAAUUGUAUAUGAAAAACUAGCAUGGGGCAUGUACAUUGGGAUUUAUUUCAAGAUAUUGCCUGGAAGUUAAAAGUCGCCUAAAAUGAAGACCUGAAGAAACUUCAGCUAGUUUACUAUCUAUAAACACUUCACUGUGCAUAAUAAAAAACAAUUGUCCAAGAGUUUCAGAGCCUAUAUAACUCAAAUUUCCACAUAAAAUAUUAAUAUUAAGUAGCUUUAAAGUAAAGUAGGACCCUGGUUUCUUGUGCUUCUAGAGCAAUUCAAUAAAGACGCCUUUGUAAUAAACUGGCAACGUUUCAGAGAUAUCCACCGAACAGCUUCAAGAUGAAAAGAAAUGACCUUUAUGUAUACGAGGCUAAUUAAAAUAGAACUUGUAGUUUAGACUCCUCAUUUUCAUUUUAAGUCAGAAUGUAAUACAGAUAGUUAAAACAAUAUAAUGAUAUUUUUAUUCCAGCUAUGCUCCCAUGAAGUGGGUAUCAACACAGUGGAACCAUUAUUAUUCCGGUAAAAAUGAAUCAGCAUUGAGUGUCUGUCAAAAUUUUUCAUGGUCCAAUUAUGAAGCCAUAUUAGCUGUAGUUUAUUUAAGCUUCCAGCACACAAUAAGCCCUAGAGAGAUUAUGACUAAGAACAUAAAUAUAGCAUAACAAUAAUGAAAGAAAAAAAUUUUUUUGAAAGGCUGUAUAAUUUAACCCAAAUAAAGAACACUGGACUUCAUUGUCCAACCUAAUAUUUUAUAAAUGAAGAAAUUCAGAAUCAAUGAGCUAAGUGAUUUAUUCAAAAUCACACAACAAAUCAGCAACCAAUCUAGAACUAGAAUGCAUGUGAUUCUAGAGUAAAACUAAAGUAUAUUAACAGGAAGUGUUCUUCAAUGACUAUUGCUAUGCUUAGCUGUGACUUGCUGGUAAAACAUCUUUAGAGAAAAAUGUUUUAAUUAGAGAUGAGUGGACAAAUCUCUCUCUCUGCCACUUAGAAACUCUGGCCAUGUCACUUAAUCUUAGGGUCCAAAUUUACUUGUUGGCUAGUGGAGAUAAUAUCUGCCAUGCUUCCUUCUUAGGUUUCUUAUAAACAUAGAACAAAUUUCUUUUUUUUUUCCAGAAAAAAGAAAAAAAAUAUUUCAGGGGAUAUACAGAUGUUACAUACUCAGAACUUCAAAAACAUAACCUCACCCAGGCUUGAUGUGGCCUCGGAAUCUUCUAACUGGAUUUGGGUCAAAAGACUUUUACUGAACCAGGUUUGUUUUGCCUGACACACAGCAAGCCAAAGUGCUAGGAUGCUGAGGAUGCAGCAAAGAGAGCAUUUAGCCCAAGCAAGGAGGUGGGAGAACAAACUCAAAUCCCCUUCCCUGAAGAGUUGGAAUUCUGAAAAACGUGGAACAGAGUUACAAAGCCACAAGCUAUGGCUUCACCAAGUAGAAAUUUCAUUCUUCCAGGUGCAAGAACUGCAGUUUGCUCUGCCUUGGACUCUCUUCCCUGUGAUUUGAAGGAUGAACAUUUUUAGGGGAAAAAUUGUCUUCUCUCAUUUUAAUCUGUCAACCCUGCUUCCAGAGCUCUGCCUAUACACAGGAGAGACCCAUUGGUAUAGCAGGUAUAAGUGAUGUCCUUUUGUGACCAUUAUCUCUCCUCUAUCAAUUUUACAUGUGAUCAUGAAAAACAUGUUUUCAAAGGUCUCUGAAACUGCAGCUGCAAAAACUUUGUUAGUCUACAUCUUAGAGCUGGCAUCCACUUAGACGCGGCAGUCUAUUUUUCCAAUCCGAUUUCAUGUCAAUUGCUACUCUCUUUCUCCACUGCAUCCUGCUCCUCCCCCGCCCACCUUGAAAAGCAAACUGCUUCUUGCUGCUGGGUGCACCAGAAACAUAAGUGAACUGCAGCGGGUUGGUGUUCAACCUCCACGCCACACAGCUCUGCCUGACUGAUUUACAGAGACUGUGCUCACGAUGGCUGUCCUGGGGCCAAUAAAGAUUUUAAAAGGAGGGGAUUAUAGAGAAAGAAUGGCCCAGGCAUUUUCAUGAGAGUUUCUCUGUACUCCAGAGGAGUCUGAGUUUCACAGGAUGGCAAGAUCAGCUAUAAACCACAUCUUUCUGGACUGUGGAAUGUAGGGUUCCCCAGGCAUAGCUGGAAGGGGCUGGGAGGGGGCAGUUAGACAGAGAGAUUAUAAGGCCCUGGAGGAGACCCUCAAACAAUAGAAAACAUAAGGUCUGUCUUUCAGGAGUAUAAAGACUAUUCUGGAUAAGUAGUUAGGACAAGAGAGAGGGUAGAUAAAACUUCAGGUCAUUAAAAUGGUACAUGAUAUAUGAUUGUCAUGGGCAGCAAUUGUGAAUAAAAUUGGAGAGGAAAACAUUUCUUUCCAGAAGGUUCUGGAAAGGUUUCAGAAGGAGAGUAGAAUAUGACUUGGAUUUCAAAAGAAUCAGCAUCACAUCAACUUAAAGAUUAUAGUAGACAUAAUUGUUAAUAUAAAAAUCCCCCAUUAAAACAAAAAUGUAACAAAAAAACCCCUACUUUUAUGUUCCCUUUCAAUCUGGGACUAUGCAUUUCAGAGUUAAUAUAGUGUGCCAAAAAUUAUGUAUUGUGCCUUUUUUACAUACAUUUUGAACAUAGUUUGUAGACACUGUAUAGGUGUCUGCAAAACAGCAAUGUACAAUAGCAUGAUCAGAUUGUUGUCUUGUUUUAGUUUCUGUGACUCUCCCAGAUUUAGCACUGAAAUUCCUGCAGCCAGAAACCUCUUUCCCCACGCACACAGUCUCAACAGAAAUGUUGGUCAUCCUAAUAAAAAGACCCCAACUUCAUGGAAAAUUACAAUCUGAUGGAGGCAGGACUGUAAGCCUCUAAUUUUAGGUGCACUGAGUGUUAGAGUGGAGGUGCAGAGGCUUUGAUAGUGUCUAGUGCCUAGGAAAGAACCCUGAGGAAGUUAUAUUUCAUGAAGUUUGAAGAAGAGUGAGUUAGGGGAAGAACUCCCUUAAAUUAUGCUAUAGUUACGAACACACCCACUGUGGGAAGUGAAAUUACACUCUUGAAGUUGGUUUUUAACCUAGAAGCAAAAUCCUAGGAGAACAUGGGGUUGAUCAUACGCUUAGACAGGCUAGGAGAGUUCUGUCCACACAUGACUGUGUAUUAGUAGAACUACAUAUUAGUCUUAUUCUUCUGUAAUGAUAAGGUUUGCUAAUUUGUUUGUUUUUUAUGUUGGUAACAAAUUUUGCAAUUUUUCAAUAAUUGAACUUCAGAUAGAAUGCCACCUCAUGAUCACAGUUUAUAUAGAUGAUUUUGUAUAUUUCUGACAAUUUCUCAUAUUGUUUAUAGUUACACAUCCUAUUUAUUUCCUCUUCGAAAAAAAUUGAAACACAUGGCCUGUCUCUUCUCUUGGCAUUUCCAUGCUUAAGAAAUGAUGGCAAUCAUAAAUAAUGCCCCUCCUGACCUUAAAAUGACUCUGUAAGGACAGACUUGUGGCGGUCACAGCAUGUCCAAGGACCUGAGUGAAUAUCCACACUAUAUUCCACCUAGACCAUCCCGCAUUUCUAUUUAAGUACUCUUUCUUCAGAUGUGCUAAUACCAUUGAUUAAGCUACUGCUUACUGCUUUCCCUUGUAGUCCAACUUUUAGAUUUUUCCCAUGGUUUUUUUAUUUUUUUUUGUUUGUUUGUAUGCUUUGUUUUGUUUUGUUUUGUUUUUUGCCUUGGGAAAUAUUCUACAAGGAAAGUUGCUUUCUAAAACAGUCAAAUAUUAGCCAUUAGGAUUUUACUAGUGAAGCUCUCAGAGACUGUGGGGCAUCGCACUCAUUCUCACAUGUUUUAGACAUAUUUCUCUAUUGAUACUCUCUCUUCAUCCAUCUGCUACCUUGCUCCUCAAAGAAAAUUUUAUGUAGGUAGUGCCUCCAUAGGCUUCCAAUAUUUUUGCCAAUGCCUGCACAGGAAUAAUGUGACCAGCCCCAAUGGGAAUCUUAAAAGUAGAAGUCAUCCUUGACCCCAGAAAUUGUCAUAAUGCACUGUUUAUUUCCCAAUGAAGGAUAGAAAGAAAUAAAGAGUUUUUAGUUGAGGGGAGAGAGAAAUUUUUAUGUAGUCCAGGAACAUUGAAUAAAAGAAAAUAUUUGAUCAGGAUUUUGAAAAAACAAGAAGAGUGGCGCUCCAAGUAGAAACUGCUGUUUCCCUCAUCAGCAUAUUUUCAUGAAUAAUGGUAAGGUGUGGUAGUAUUAUUUUGCUGAUGUGAUUCAUAUACUCUUUGGGGCUUCACAUCAAGCCCACUGACCCUUUCAAAAAGGCUUUCAGAAUGUUUUCAGACAAGCAACUUCUAACCUGGAUAAUAGUAACCUGGGGUGAAAUGUUUGUCUCUCCAUUUUUUUUCAAGUUCAUGAAUCUCUGGUUAGCCUGGCCACUGUGCCUUAUCUAAAGAGGGGAUAAUAUACAAUGUUCUCUCAGGGAGACAAAUGAUGGGGCAUGAGACUGUGGCAUGGAGCUGAGGAAUAAGGAAAAAGUCCUCUCAUGAUUGAGAUACCUGAUGAGGUUACACAUAUCCUUGCAGAAUACCCAGUCAGGCACAAAUACAGCUUUAUUUCACCACAAAAUAAUAAAUCAUAAAGAAGAAUGUGCUAAAUUUUUUUUCCAAAUUAAAUUUUCAUUGAUACUCAACCUUCUGAAGAAUAAGGUGAAGCUAAGACAGACAUUUAUUUGGUGAAGGCUUAAAAUAAAAUUUCAACUGAGAAAAAAAUAAUAACAAAAAAUGCAAGUUUAAUGUCUAACAAGACAUGCAGUAUGUAAUUAAACUCAACUUUAUCAGCUCCAGCAUUCAUUAAGGGAUUCUAAGCCUGAGGAGCUAUGAAGUUCUUUAAGAGGCAAUCAAUAAUCCAUUACAAUUGUGACACCAACUCUGAACCUAAUUACCAGCAACAGAAUAGUUGUGGCCCAUUUAAAAAGAUAGUUCCUAUUAUUAGAGGUGAGCAAAGGUAUGUGGGGGUUAAUCGACUUUGGCUUGUAUUUCACCAAACCUAUACCUUAAUUUUUUCCUUUAUAAUACUAUUGAGGAAAAAUGCUAAUUAGAGCUGUUCAUUAGCCUUCUGUGUUCUUUCUAACCUUGAACGCCAUGUUUGUUCUUUCUGAAAACCUUGCUUUUCAAGUAUUCUGAGAGUGGAUCAUUUAAUUUUAUGGUAUUUUAUAGGAUUUCCACUAAAUGUUUCUUGUUUUCAGCAGCCUCGUGAGUUGCUUUCACCAGUCUUUCUUUCAGUGCUCCUUAAUUUACUCUGAUAGAAACCCACUCCCCUAAAGCCAUUUGCAUUUGGAUCUUUGGAGUGACAUUGUCAUUGAACAUUCUGUGUUGACUCUUCUACGUGUCUGUAGUGCUAGAACAGAUUUGAAAGAGUCAAAUUGUGUACAUGCUACUACCUUGUGUUACUGAUGUUACUACUUUCUUACUUUGGGUUCCACAGAAGAAAAUCUUGAGACAGGAUUUGAUGUAAGUAAUUUAUUUGUAUGGUAAAGAGAACCCCAGUAGGAAUUGUGGACAUAAAAGAGUGAAGAGAAGACAGCCUACAAAGAAUGAUAUUCAUCAAGCCAGGUUUAGUAUGGGCCAUUGGAAUUUAAUCCUACUGGGCAAAUUCUGGAGGCCAGGAAAAAACACACACCCUCGAGAUUUCUGCCCAACAGGCUGAGGAGCUGAGUGUCAGUUAUGAGGAGCUCCUGUCAGUUAUGGCUCAGGAUUGCUCCCAGGGUGCAUAAUUCCCUGUUCUGUCACUUGGAUCACAAAGUGCUCAAGAGCUAAGAGAAUGCCCUCAGUGUUGGCAGCUGGAAGUCAGGCAGUGUGUACUGAUGUGGCAAGGGCAGGGGAUGUGGAGAAGGUGCUCAAACCUUCUGCUCCACCCACUGCUAGUGGGGCUUCUGCCUACACCUGCCAAAGUACUUGAGGUCUAGAGGACUUUGAUUAGACUCUAACAUUCCCAGUGAUCCUUGUUGUCCUUGCAGACAUUUUAAAUUUACAAAUUUACAUGAGUAUUAGUAGCUGGUGAAAUGGGCUUGAGAAAUAGCUAUAGAAAUAUGACAGGAAAGGUCUUGGCAGGACAAGAAGCUACACGACUUAAGGAAGGGAGAGGCAAUAAAACACAGUGACUGUUACUGACAAUUAUCUAUACAGUUACUACCAGGGAUAGAAAGAAUCAUGCAAGGAGAUCAUUUUGCUAAUUUCUUGUAGCACCCAAAGAAUCAAAAUCAGGUAAUAGCCUAUGAUUAGACUGGGUGACGUGUGCAAGAUUCUGUGUGUGUGUGUGUGUGUGUGUGUCUGCACACCUGCAUGUGCAUGCCCAUGUAUGAGCCAGAGAGUUCAUGAUAUGUGGAUAUAUAGCUGGGAGAUGGAUCCACAAGACUGCAAAUCAGGGCUAAUUUUUCUUGCUCAGUUUUUACAUUAGGCUCCACACUAUAAUGCAUGGGUCCCCACUUGUCCCUUGUCAUAAAAUACUGUUCUUCAGAUUUAUUUUCAAAACCACAACCUGUCUCUGAAGGCUGAAAGACUCCAAGUAACGGUAUUAUUUUAAUGAAGAAGCAGAAGGACAUCUUAAGGAAUUCAGCUGAUUAUCUCUAACACAACCCACGAGGUUUUUCUAUGAUCUCAGUUUUCUUUUGAAGAGUGUUAUUUUGGGGAGCCACAUCAGCAUGUGUGAGGUUAGACUUCCAGAUUGAGUGAGAGUGAGAAAAAUCAGACUUAGCUCUUCAACAAGGAUUGCUCAGUUGUCUUUCUGGGAUUGUUCAUAAGCCAGUGCUUAUGGUGGCAAGUGCUGCAAUGAUGUUUAUUUACCUGCGUGGCCUAGAUAUGGCCAUUUAAGGAUUAUAUUCUUCAUAUGCCUACAAUGGAAUCCUGUGAAACAAUUUAGAAUCUGAAGGUUUCUUUCGUUUUGAUUGAACCUUGAUCCAGUAUUUUUUUUUCCAUUUAUUUUCUUCUUCUCAAGGACCAUGAGUAUACCUUAAAACAAUUUUAUGUACAAUAGUCUUGUGGAUGCUAAUUAGGAAAUAAUCGGCCUUUGUAGUCUUUUGGAAUCUCCUAGGAAAUUAACAUAAUUGGCUAUUUCUUGCAUGCUGAAGUUUCACACCCUUGAUGAAGGACACAUUCAUCUUGCAUUGAUCUUUCCUCAAUUCCUCAUCCCCCUUGUUCUUUGCGCCUAAUGGGUAUUCAAUAAAUCCUGGUUAAAAUAAAUGCAUCUUCUAAAUUGUUCAAAGUCAGUCCUUUAGUCUUCUGUCCAGUUAACACCCUAGAAUAUUUCAAAACAGUUGAGCUAUUUGUUCACUGGUCCCUUUCAGCUACCAUGCCAUAUAAAUCCCACUGUAAACUCAGUUUACUCAGGCCUUAUGGAGGUAGGCAGAAUGAUAUUAACCCAAGCCAAGAGUGGGCUUUGGGAUUAGAUUUGUUGCUUUCAAUUUGGAAUCUGUUAUACCUGAGAGUACAUGUUCACUAAGCCUUAGCAUGUUUCUCCCAUGGUGGCAUAAGAUGUAUGGUUGUGACUUGGCCUUGAUUUUCUUCCCUAAUUAGCAUCUACUUCUUUACUAGACCUGCACCUAGUUUAGAUUCCAACUAAGCUGGGACCUUGAUACCUUGCUUAAAUCAUGCUAGUACAUUCUCCAAGGGGCUGGAGCAUAUGCAAAAAACUUAAGCUAUUGUCUGUAGUUCUCCUAUGAAUGUAUUUAGGACCAAAACUAUUCUUUCACCAAACACUUGACCUAAGGAAUUUGCUGUCACUUAUAUCCAUUACACUGAAUCAUGCUGAUUAAAUUUGAUCACCCCAGUUUUAUAUUUCCCUUAGCCAUUCAAAUAAUAAAACCUAUUGGAUUAUUUAUUUAUUGAUCCUCUUACCCUUCCAUGAGGACCACUCUGCCCCAGGCACAAUAUUGCAAGAGAUUCUGUCUUUUCAACCUAUAUUUUGGAUUGUCAACUACUAUACCUAGAGCUAGAGCUGGUUCUACACCCAGUCACUUUCCCUCCUAUCUUGUUUUUCACCCAUACCCAGUUGUCCUCCUCAUCAGCUCACUCAUAGACGUUCUUAUUUAUCCUAUAUCCAGGCCUACCCAUCUCACAAGGGCUCAACUAACUUUAGUCUUUAUAUAGUCCACCUACUCUUGCCAAGUACAUCCUAUUGUUUCUUUAUAGUUUAUAUGGUAGUUACAGUUAAUAAUUGAUUUUGUAUCCUUAUAGGAAGAAUAAAGUCAUAUAAAUUAAUUAAUUGGGGGUAUAUUUAUUGAAUACCUAGUAAGUGUCAGGCACAGCAGGAUACAGUGAACAAGACAGACAAGACCCCUACUCUCAGGAAGGUUACAUUCUAGCAAGGGUAGCAUUCAUUUAAUGAGGAUCCUCAAUCCUUCAUUAUUCCCAGGUUCCACAUUUACAAAUUUGCCAACUCACUGAAAUUUGUUUGUAACCCCCAAAUCAACACUCGCAGCACUUUCACAGUCAUUUAUAGACAGGCAGAGAGCAGCAAAGAAUUUGAGUUGCCCAAUCCCCAUGAUUCCAGCUGAAAUAUACAAAACGACAUUGGCUUUUGUUUCAGUUUAUAUGCUAUAAACAAGUAUCCUUUUCAUGAUGCACUAAGUACCAUGUUUUUUGUAUUUUUGUUGGUGAGUUUGCUUCUUAAAAUGCCCCCUGCCCCCCAACCUAUUGCUGUCUAGUGUUCCUAAGCAAGAAGACUGUGGAACUGAGAAGAUGCUUGUGUUAAAUAAGCUUUAUUCAGUCAGGAUUAUAGUGCUCUGAUUUCAAUGCUAAUGAAUCAAUAAUAUAUAUUUUCAAAAGCUCUUUAAACAGAUAACACACGUAAACAAGGUUAUGGAUUGAGCAGAGAUUCGCAGGAAUGUAACUCUGUAUUUGCUCAGGAGCAGUGCUUCAGUAUUCACUAAUUUAGUGAGUGACUUUAUGGAACAUAAGUACUGUGACUAAUCCACUGUAUUUUUUAAUAAAACCUCUUCAUUUGCUUAUGUGAUAAGUAUUACAAAUUAAUGGCACUCCAUACCAUGAGAGUGUAUAAGAGAGGGACUUCAUCUGAGAGGGUAGGAAAGGCUUCCCUGAAAAGUAAUGUUUUAGCUGUGACAUAAAAGAGAUGUGGGGAUUAGCUGAGCCCAGAGUGGAAGGAAGGACACUUCAGAUAGAAGCAAUAGCGUAGGCAAAGUCUUAAGGCAGGAAAGAGUGUGAUUUGUUAGAGAAAAAAAGAAGGCCACAGUGAGAGGAUAAUUGUGUAUGUGGAGAAGAGAAUGAUGAAAGGCAAAGCUUUAAACAUGGACAGGGGACAGUUCAUGAAGGACCUUGCGGGCCAGGCUAAGGAUUGGAAUUUUACUAAAGAGCAAGGGAAAGAUGCUGAUGAAUUUUUGUUGAAGGACUGAUCAUUCUUCUUUUCUAGGAAUAAUGGAGUAAAGACAAAGUGGAAAUAGUGUGAUGAUGAAUUAAGUUGUGACAAUGGGUAUAGAGAAAAUAUGAGGAAGUAUACAUAGAAACAGAUUUAUAAGAGAUAUGAGAGGUAAAAAUGACCACAUUCAUUGACUGAGGAGACACAGAGGCUGGGGGUCAAGGAGGAUAAACUCAUUAGGCUCAUCUGAGUAGACGAUUUCUGAAAUGGCAGAGCUAUUGAAGAAGACCACAAUUAGAGAGGAUGUAGUAAAUUUUGUUUUCAAUGAUGGUUACGACAGGAUCUCCCAUUUUGUCUGCUUUUGUGCAAUAUGACCUUCCCACUGCCACUUAAGAGGUGGGAUGUUUUCCCCUCUCCUUGAAUCUGGGCUAGUUUGUCUAACAGAAUACAGUGAAAGUAAGGUGGUGCUGUAUUGUUUCUGAGACUGGACCUGAAGAAAAUCACAACUUCUGCCUUCAUCUCUUGGAAUAUUCCUUCUUGGAAUCAAGACGCUAUCCAUGAAGCAACCCAAGCUGCUCCAUGGAGAAGCUCACCUGCAGGAGAACCUGAUCAUCCUAGUUGACUUCCAGCAUCACCUGCCAGGCUUAUGAGUUUUGGACCUUCCAGCCUUCUUAGCACCUAGUGACCCCACAUGGCGCAAAAGAAUCUUCGGAUAACUUUCAGAAUCAUGAGAAAAAAUUACUUCCUAUUUUAAACCAUUAUGUUUUAGAGUGAUUCAUUGUAUAGCAGUAGCUAUCCAAAACAGAGGUAAUAGGAAUUCAGUUUAAGGAAUGUCCAUGAGAUGCUGUGGAACAUUUCAGUGAAGAUGAUUCUCAGGGAGCUGGUUAUAAAGUCUGGAAUUAAGAAGUGACAUCUGAGCUAGAGAAUAUAAAUUUGGGAGCUGUCAGCAUAUACAUGGUAUUUUUAGCCAUGGAAGUUGAUCAAACAAACAAAAACUAGCAAGAACAUAGAGAUAAAAAAAGUAAGGUAGAAUUAGAACUAGGUUUUGAAGAAAUUUAACAUUUAACGGCCAUGUAUGGAAAAGGAGAAACCAGAGAGAUUUUUAUUUGUACCACAAAAGCCAAGAAAAGAAAGAGACUAUUUCCAGAAAGAGGAUGUGAUCAAUAGUAGAUUCAAAAGCUAAGAGAAAUUAUAUAAAAUGAGUUCAAAGUGUAUCACUUAUUGAUUUAGAAUCAAGGCGGUCAUUGAUGAGUCAUCUCAGUAAAUUUCCAGAGUACUAUGAUUGACUUCUUACAUUGUUGUUAAUAUUUUUAUUUUAACCUUUUUAGGUAUAAUGGUUAACAUUGCAUCCUUAAGUGUAUGUAAGACAUUGUAUUGGACUCUUCAUAUAUUAUGUCAUCUCUAAUUUAAUCGUUAUAACAACCAUUUUUGAAACAACUAAAGUUUAAAGAAAUUGAGUGAGCUCCCUAAAAUUAUUUAGCUAGUAGGUGUCCAGAUAGCCUCUGUUCUUUUCUUCAGCCCCCACACCAUCUCCAUCCCCUACCCUCAGGCCCAUCAUAUUUAUGACCCCAAGUCUACAGAAGGAAACGAAGCCACAUAUCUGAGUUUGAUAUGAUUGUGUCCACAAUAAAAGGAAAAGUAGCUGUUACUGAGAUAUUAUUGUUCAUUAUUUUAUGUAUAAUAAUAUUUACUUUCUUAGAUUUUUUAAGAGUCCCUAUCUUUUAGAGGUACACAGUGAAAUAUUUACAGAUGAGUUCUUAUAUAUUGCAUAUGUUUCAAAGUUAUCUGGUUGAGAGGGAAAGUAUGUAGGUAUGAGUGAAACUAGAUUGGCCCUGUGUAGGUAUAGAUGAAACUAGAUUGUUAAGGCUAGAUGAUGAGUAAAGAGGGGACCAUUGUACCAUACUCUCUGCUUUUCUAUAGUUUGAGAUUUUUUUUUUAAUAGUAAGUUAAAAAAGUAAGUGUCUUAGUGAGGUUCUGAGGCCUUUCCAGUGAAUAAAAGUGCAUGGGCUUUGUAAUAGCUAUUUUGGUGCUUAGAGCUUUAUUUCUAUUGUUUUUUUCUCUAGUGUUGUGGAUAGCUAGAAGUGAUAGAUAAAUGGCCCUGGACAUAGAUAGAAGGAACUAUUUAUUACGUACUCUAUAAAACCUGGAAAAAGAAAAAAAAUGAAUCUCAAAUUUUAAUUUACCGAAUAAUCAUUAAAUGUGACAUUUAUCAUUAUUCUAUAAGCUGAGUAGCAUUUGUGAGAUGACAAUUAAUUAGCUGGAUAGUUUUAUAAAAUGUAUGUUGCUUCUAAUCAUUAUGGCCCACUUUCCUUGUUUAAUACAAAAUCAGAAGCUCAUAAAUGCAUCAGAAAUCUCUCUGGAUUUGCUGUUGCAUGGUUCCACAGGCAUUUUUCCCUGGAGACAUGGUAAUUUUACAACUUUUAAAUAUUCAACCAACUCUAAUUAUAAAUAGUUCUCUUUCAAAAGCGAUAGCCAGACUUUUGGCACAAGUGCUUCUCAUUAUGGGGUAAGGAUGACAGUGUAAUGACUGAUGAUGUGUGUUAGAUUCCCCCAUUUCUCUUAAUUAUAAUUUUCUCUGAAUUAUCGUGUUUUGUAACUAAUCAGCUAAUUCCUGACACUGGUUAAUGUGAUCAGGAAUGAUUUUAACUUUGUGUUUCAUCUGGAGAAACAGACAGUCUGUGUGGUAACCUGUGCAGGCAGAGGAAGAAAACUCGUCAACUCCUUCCAAUUUCUCUGUUCUGUUUGGGUUGGUCAGGAUAUGAGGACAGAUAAGUGAAAGGGGAGUAUGCUUUGUGCUCUUAGAAAUGGAGGAAUAGAUACAGAGGGGAAAAGAAUGCAGCUUGGGAUAGAAGGCAAUGAGAAGGUUAGAGAAGGUGACCAUAUGGAGCCAUAAAUCAGUAGCUACCCGGGCAACAAAGCUGACCCUGGACAUCUGGUUUGGGACUUAGCCAUUAUUUAUUGAACACCUGCUGUGAGCAUAGCUCUGCCAUGGCUACUAUUAGGGGAAUACGAGAGACUCCAGAGACCUUUUCCUUGCCUUCAAUUCUAGUUAGAAACAACAGGCCAUCUACAGUUUAAUAUCCUCCUUGAAAGCAAAGUCUUGGUCUCUUUGGCUCACCCUUAUAUCCUGUUGCCUGGUAGUGGGUAUAGCUCAUAGUCAUUACCUUUAAUAAAUGAUUUGCUAAGAAAUAGAUGGAUGGAUGAAUAAAUGAAUGAUUAUGGGGCCACUAAUGAAAUGUUAAAAUAACCCACUUCAAACUAAAUAUGCAAAUGCUGACAGGGAAGUCACAGACUAUGACCAGAAUGAGGAUCUACAAGACGAUGUCAGGCUUCUAAAAAGCCCACCUUGAAUCCCAUUCCUCUUCCAAUCCCAAGACAAGUUAAAGAAAGAUAAAGACUAUGGGCAUUAAACUGCCCAGGCCCCACUGAUGGAACUUUUGUGACAGCAGAACUCCUAGGAACCAUCCUCCAGGAAGGUGAGAGUGUCUAGUAGUUAUGAGGUGAGAGAGUUUGAGCUCCUCAGAGGUUGCAUGAACACUCAUGGGUUGGCCACCUGAGCGAGGAGGCCAUGUAGCUUUACCAGAGUUCUAAGUGAGGUGGAUGCAGGAUGUAGCUGGAUCUUAAGAUUUUUUUUGACUUUGUGUUGUGGCCAAUUCUGAGCCUUUUGAAGCAUGAGGAGAUAAUCUUUCAGAGGUCAUUUUUUACAGUGUCCUGAAAAAAGGGCUUUCAAAGCCUUCUAUAUGUGACUUGAUGGGUGACCCAUGGCAGUGUUACUGCAACACCUUGGACAACUCACAAAAGUACUAUGCUUUGCCUUCAACCUGUAGAUUUCUCACCAUCAACUAAAGGAGGACAGAGUUUCUUCUCUGGUGCAGCAGGUUAAGGAUCUGGUGUUUCUAUAGCAACUUGGGUCACUGCUGAGGUGCAGGUUUGAUCCCUGGCCUGGAACAGUGGGUUAAGGAUCUGGUUUUCCCACCAUUGUGGCUAGGUCACUGUGGCUUGGAUGUGAUUUCUGGCCCAGGAACUUCCAUAUGUCACUGGUGCAUAUGAAAAAAGAAAACGGAUAAACAAACAAACCAAAAAAAAAAAAAAGUGAGAACUUUGGAAUAGGUUUGAGAAUGUAAUUUUUGUUUUGGAAUCCUCCUCUAGAAUCAGGAUUCAGCAGAAUACCUGACUUGAAAAAAAUAUUUGGAUCCUCCUAUGGGAUUGCUUUCCCUGGAAAUUCACAUUAUAUUUGUCCUUCAAAUUAGUGGCAUAUAUGAAGAAAAGAAAUUCAACUAGAGAAUUUAUGACAAACACUUUCCCAUCCCUCUUCCUAUUAAAGACAUUUGGGAACAUUUUUCUUCUUCCAGUGAGCCUGUAAAAGUUUUGGUAAGCAGAACAUAUUGAUUAAUUACCACCACAUGGCCAGACCUCUGCUUAGGAGAAAAUAUUGUUAUUAUGGACUGAAUUGGGUCCCCUCAAAUUCAUAUGAUGUAGUGAAGCUCUAAUCCCCAAUGUGACUACAUUUGGAAAUAGGGCUUUAUUUAGAUAAUUAACGUUAAAGGAGAUCAUGAGGGUGGGAAUUUAAUCUAACAGACCUGAUGUCUUUAUAAGAUGAACAAGAAACACCAGGAAUGCACAUACACAGAGGAAAGACGAGAAGAGACAGCAAGAAGGCAGAUAUCUGCAACCCAAAGGGAAAAGUUUCACCAGAAACCAACUUUGCCAGCACUCAGAUCUUGGACUUUUAGGCUCCAAAACUGUGAGAAAGUAUAUUUUAAGCCUCCCAGUCUAUGGUAUUAUGUUAUAGUAGCCCUCGCAGACUAACACAAUCAUCUAAAAGUAAAUAAAUAAAACACGGCUUCAGUUGUCAAUGAACUUAACUUCAACUGAGGAGAAAAGACUAAUGUACAUAAAACGGAGAAGAUAUUCUGCCGUGUUAAGUAAUUCCGACCAUAAUAGAAUAAAAAUAAUACGCAAUUUCAUGGUCAACUCUCUAUGCAGUCAUGUCAACUUUAUGCUAGAUCCUUGUUAUGGGUUCAUUUGUGUCAUCCUCUCCCGCCAAUAAAGAUAUGUUAAAUUCUUAACUCCCAGAACUUCAGAAUUGACCUUAUUUGGAAAUAGGUCUUAAAGAAGUAACCAAGUUAAAGUAAGAUCAUUAGAGUGGACUCUAAUCCCCUGUGACUAAUGUCCUUAUAAAAAAGGGACAUUUGGACAUAAAGAGAGACACGCAUAGAGAGAAGAUGGUGUGAAGACCCACAGGGAGGAGGAGACAUGUAGCUGGAGUUUUGUGUCUUCUGGCCAAAGACCACCAAGCAUGCUGGGCAUACACCAGAAGCUGGAAGAGAUGAGGAAGUAUUCUCCAUCAGAGCCAGCAGAAAAAGCCUGGUCCUGAGGACACAUAGAUUUCUGACUUCUAGCCUCCGGUACUGUGAGACAAUAGAUUGCUGCUGAUAUUUGGUUUUGGCAGCCCCAGGAAGCCAACACAACCCUCUUCUCAGAGCCAGAUGAAGGGCAGUUUAACAGGACAGCUUCUCAAUCACUAGUCCACAGGAGGUUUUAAACUAUCACUGGAAUGAUUUAGAAAUUAUAUAACCUAACUCAAGUUUCCUCACAUGGGGUGAAAUGUCCCUGCUGAAAUAGUGAGCCAUCUCUACUGGAAAGAAAUAAAUAGUAAUAAUUUAAAACAUCAUUUGCUAUCACCCAACUAAUGCUGUUGAGUGUUUCAAUAAUGUACACAUGAUUUACAUUGUAACAUCCUAUAAAACAGAUACAGUGAUAAUCUCAUUUUACAGCUCAGGAGAUGAGAGUCAGAAAUUGAUUUGCUUGACUUGAUCUUAGUCAAAUAGCUAGUAAAUUGCAGAGCUGGAUUUCAGACUAAGGUUUUCUAGAGCUAUGUAUUGAAAGGUGAAAGAUUUGGUAAAUAAAGAAGAGAGGAGGAAGUACUUCUGAGCUUGGAGAGUAAACAGAGUUAUUUCCACUAGAGAUAUUUUCAGGCAUACAUAAAAGAGAGAGGGGAGGAGUUCCCGUUGUGGCACAGUGGCUAACGAAUCCAACCAGGAACCAUGAGGUUGCGUGUUCAAUC